CUCCUUUGUCCUUCGCUAGCUUUGCGGUUUAUCAACGCAGGCUGGUAAUAUCCCAAACUUCUCUUUGGCAACACUGAUAGUAGAACGGUUUUGCGGCGUCCUUUCCUAUAUUGUUCUUUGUCUCAAACGAAACGUAAACGAAAGAGGUAUUCUAAGAAUUCAUCAUCGUCUGCAAAGUUUUCCUGUCUCCAGCCUUUCUGUCGGAACAAAUUCCUGACAUAAAUUAUUGCGUGGUAAAAUUAAAGCAAAGAUGUCGGAUAACGAACAACCCCCCAUGAAUAAUGAUCCGGUAAGUAAAUAAUUUG